rnacentral:lncRNA from 1 species
UUAUAAUUUAUUUUGUUAGUCUUAAACCAUGUACGAAAACUAAUUAAAGAAAAACAAAAUACAAUUAUAAACAAAUAGACUAACAGUACCGUGUUUGGAUAUACAUUAUUUAAAAGCAAAAUAAUUACGGAUACCCGCAAGUUUUUCUGUGAGAACACAAACAGCCCUUUACUCAGACACUCGUCUUUUCCUCGCUCGCCUACCUUCUUCUCUCUCCCUCUUCACUUCGUCGUUCUUCAAUUCUCAAAAUCACUCCAUAUUUCUUCGUCAUUACGAGAAAUCAGAACGAUAAAUCGUCUCGCUAACUGUUUUCUCGAUUUUUACGUGUUUAAAUUCAAUAAAUAGAGUGAGGAACCGGAAAAAUUGAAGGUUCUUUAGGGUUCUAGGUUUUGGAAUUUUGAUGAUUCCAGGACUAGGUCACCGAAUCGAGCGGGUGCGAUCGCUUUCGUCCAGGAGAUUUUUCUUUUUGGUACGAAAUGCCUCGCGCAUCGAAAGAGAAAGACGGCCGCACCGAACUCAUCAUCCGUCCAAUCCGACGGUGGUCGUCCCGGUACUUACUGCCUUCGUUUCCUUUUUUUCUUUCACCUUUUAUGCUUCUUUCCGUUUGAAUGCCUCGUCGUUUCCAACCCUGUUUGGUUCGCCGGAAAGCGCGGGAAAAUUGUAAAGAAAAUGGAGAAUGAAUUGGAAGAACGGGAAUCAUUACCGGAUUCUGUCAACAUUCCACUGAUUUUAUAUAAUUUAAUUUGAUUUUCAUUUUUCUUUGUCACGCAAAACAAUAUGACUAUUCUGUUUGGUUGCCCGGAAACGGCGAGAAAACAUGUACCGGAAACGGCGAGAGACGCUUAAAUGAGAAGCAGAACGUGCGAGUAGCCUACAGCUGUUAGUUUCUGAGAGACUGACAUCGUAAAUACGUAAUAAUUAAAAUUUAACUAAUUUAAGUAAAAUUAAUUUUUUUUAAAAUAUUUGAUAUAUAAUUUUUUACACCCA